UGACAGGUGGUGCAUGGUUGUCGUCAGCUCGUGUCGUGAGAUGUUGGUUAAGUCCGCAACGAGCGCAACCCCUAUUGUUAGUUGCCAUCAUUCAGUUGGGCACUCUAGCGAGACUGCCGGUAAUAAACCGGAGGAAGGUGGGGAUGACGUCAAAUCAUCAUGCCCCUUAUGACCUGGGCUACACACGUGCUACAAUGGUUGGUACAACGAGUUGCGAGUCGGUGACGGCGAGCUAAUCUCUUAAAGCCAAUCUCAGUUCGGAUUGUAGGCUGCAACUCGCCUACAUGAAGUCGGAAUCGCUAGUAAUCGCGGAUCAGCACGCCGCGGUCGAAUACGUUCCCGGGCCUU
rnacentral:rRNA from 1 species